rnacentral:snRNA from 1 species
UAGUACUAGUAUCUCCUGAUUCGUGGAUAAAUCUUUCGCCUUUUACUAAACAUUUUCAUGGGGAGGCACGAUACAAUCAAUCUUAUCUCAUUAUUUCCAGCUUUGUCUUCGGACAGAGU